CAGCUGAUUUGUAAUCAGCAGGUUACGGGUUCAAGUCCUGUCACCAGCACCA
rnacentral:tRNA from 1 species